rnacentral:rRNA from 1 species
UACGGAGGGGGCGAGCGUUAUUCGGAAUCAUUGGGCGUAAAGGGCGCGUAGGCGGCCCCGUAAGUCUUGGGUGAAAGCCCUCGGCUCAACCGAGGAAUUGCCUUGGAUACUGCGGGGCUCGAGGCUGGAAGAGGGUAGCGGAAUUUCCGGUGGAGCGGUGAAAUGCGUAGAUAUCGGGAGGAACACCAGUGGCGAAGGCGACUACCUGGCCUGUUCUUGACGCUGAGGCGCGAAAGCUAGGGGAGCAAACGGG